rnacentral:rRNA from 1 species
UACGAAGGGGGCAAGCGUUGUCCGGAUUUAUUGGGCGUAAAGAGCGUGUAGGCGGUUUGGUAGGUCCGUUGUGAAAACUCGAGGCUCAACCUCGAGACGCCGGUGGAAACCAUCAGACUAGAGUCCGGAAGAGGAGAGUGGAAUUCCUGGUGUAGCGGUGAAAUGCGCAGAUAUCAGGAAGAACACCCGUGGCGAAGGCGGCUCUCUAGUACGGUACUGACGCUGAGACGCGAAAGCGUGGGGAGCGAACAGG